GGAGGGGUGCCUGAGUGGUUGAAAGGGACAGUCUUGAAAACUGUUAUACCCGCAAGGGUAUCGCGAGUUCGAAUCUCGCCCCCUCCGCCA
rnacentral:tRNA from 3 species